GCGGGUGUGGUGGAAUUGGUAGACACGCGUGGCUUAGGACCACGUGCCUUCGGGCGUGGGGGUUCGAGUCCCUUCACCCGCA
rnacentral:tRNA from 1 species